rnacentral:misc_RNA from 1 species
CGGACAAGCACAGCCAUUUAGUUCACUCCCAAUUCUGAGCUCAUAUCGGCCUCUCUCCAAAGCCCCAAACCCUAAAUUUCGCCGCCGGUUAUGUCAAAAAAGCGCUCUCGCGUUGGCCAGUCGCAAAGCUUCGGAGACAUUACAACGCUGAACCAGCAGCAGCCCUCGCCGGAGCUCCUUUGGGACGCUGCAUUGCCUGUUGACGUUCCUGAUCAGUCUCGCCCGAGUAUCCUGACAGUGUCGUCUCCGCCGUUGAUGUAUGAAAUGGUGCGUGGCAACCGCGAUUGCUUUCUCGAGAGAUGCUACCACUGCAAGAAAAUGUUGGACCAGAAUAAAAAUAUCUACAUGUAUGGUGACUCUGCAUUUUGCACUCUUGAGUGCCGCGAAGCACAAAUUGCAAUUGACAAGGCAACAGUGGAAACAGGUACACGGACUUCAGGCGGAGGAAUGAAUAGGUCAUAGAUCAAUGGAAAGGCAUCAAAACCAUAGCUUGUAUGUAGCUAGUUAGUGGUUUGGUGCACUAAUUUGGGUAGUGCAUAGCUGUCAGGUUUUUGAGAUUGGCUUGCACUGCAGAAUUGAAUAGCAGACAUAUCAUUACUUCAUUAGGUAGAACAAUAGAAGUCUGUUAUAAAUUUUAAAAUCAAAGGCGUUAUUCUUUUCCAAGACUAAAUUUUUUAGUGUUUUCCCCUUUUUCCAGUUUCAUAGGAGAAUUGGGAAUUUUUGAACGCCUUGAAAUUUUUCUAGUUGUGCUUAUAGGAUGGAAUAAACUGAAAGGUUUAUCUUUCACCUAACUUGAGAGUUUUAAAUCUGCUUCACAUUGAGGUUUGAUUUAAUAGUGUCAACAUUAAGAAGGUGAAUUUUGCAGCCUUGCAUUUCAGUAUCAGUUCCUGUGUUCUGAUUCCAGCUACACUAUUAUUGUAUAUGGAUAGUUAAGGUACUUAUGCAUGAAUAUGAAUGUGCGACUUCAAG